GACGAACGCUGGCGGCGUGCUUAACACAUGCAAGUCGAACGGAAAGGCCCUGCUUUUGUGGGGUGCUCGAGUGGCGAACGGGUGAGUAACACGUGAGUAACCUGCCCUUGACUUUGGGAUAACUUCAGGAAACUGGGGCUAAUACCGGCUAGGAGCUCCUGCUGCAUGGUGGGGGUUGGAAAGUUUCGGCGGUUGGGGAUGGACUCGCGGCUUAUCAGCUUGUUGGUGGGGUAGUGGCUUACCAAGGCUUUGACGGGUAGCCGGCCUGAGAGGGUGACCGGCCACAUUGGGACUGAGGUACGGCGCAGACUCCAACGGGAGGCAGCAGGGGGGAAUAUUGCACAAUGGGCGGAAGCCUGAUGCAGCAACGCCGCGUGCGGGAUGACGGCCUUCGGGUUGUAAACCGCUUUCGCCUGAGACGAAGCGUGAGUGACGGUAAUGGGUAAAGAAGCACCGGCUAACUACGUG
rnacentral:rRNA from 1 species